rnacentral:miRNA from 1 species
GUGAGGAGGAGAUUAAGAGAGAUGAUGAAAGGGGAGGAUGGGAGGGAGUAGUAACAAAAGUCAAAACAAUUUCAAAUAGAUUUCAGUUUUUAGUUUUUGUUUUCACUUUUGUAUCUCCUCCCUCUCAUCUUUCCUCUCAAUCUCAUCUUCACUCUCAUUCU